UACGUAGGGUGCAAGUGUUAAUCGGAAUUACUGGGCGUAAAGCGUGCGCAGGCGGUUGUGCAAGACAGAUGUGAAAUCCCCGGGCUCAACCUGGGAACUGCAUUUGUGACUGCACAGCUUGAGUGCGGCAGAGGGGGAUGGAAUUCCGCGUGUAGCAGUGAAAUGCGUAGAUAUGCGGAGGAACACCGAUGGCGAAGGCAAUCCCCUGGGCCUGCACUGACGCUCAUGCACGAAAGCGUGGGGAGCAAACAGG
rnacentral:rRNA from 1 species